rnacentral:rRNA from 1 species
GACGAACGCUGGCGGCGUGCUUAACACAUGCAAGUCGAGCGAUGAAGUUUCUUCGGGAAUGGAUUAGCGGCGGACGGGUGAGUAACACGUGGGUAACCUGCCUCAUAGAGGGGAAUAGCCUUCCGAAAGGAAGAUUAAUACCGCAUAAGAUUGUAGUACCGCAUGGUAUAGCAAUUAAAGGAGCAAUCCGCUAUGAGAUGGACCCGCGUCGCAUUAGCUAGUUGGUGAGGUAACGGCUCACCAAGGCGACGAUGCGUAGCCGACCUGAGAGGGUGAUCGGCCACAUUGGGACUGAGACACGGCCCAGACUCCUACGGGAGGCAGCAGUGGGGAAUAUUGCACAAUGGGGAAACCUUGAUGCAGCAACGCCGCGUGAGUGAUGACGGUCUUCGGAUUGUAAAACUCUGUCUUCAGGGACGAUAAUGACGGUACCUGAGGAGGAAGCCACGGCUAACUACGUGCCAGCCGCCGCCGUAACAC